AAUAAAUUGUUUAAAUUUAAUUUUUUUUAUAUUUAAUUAAAAUGUAAUUUUUUUUGUUUUUAAUAUUUUUAUAAAAUUUUAUUUUUUUUAGUUUAUUUUACUGAAAGGGUAAAUUAAUUUAUUUUUAAGAAGAAUACUUUUUUGUAGUACCUUUUGUAUCAGGGUUAAUUAAUUUUUUUAAUUUAUAAAUUAUUUUCUCGAAUAUUCAAGAUUUAAAUUAGUUUGUUUAUUAAUGUUAAAAAAUUAAGAUAAAAAUUUAAUUUGGUUUUGAAAUGAAAUUUCGUUUGGGUUAAUAUCUAGUUAACUAAGAAUUUAAUUAAAUUAAGGAUUACUUUUUGAAUAAUUAUUUUUAAUUUUUUCAUUUUGGUUUCUAAUUUUAGUGGGGAUAAUCUUGUUAAAUAAUUAUAAUUUUUUGUGUUUACAUUAUUUUUUUUAGAUUUAAAAUUUGUCUUAAUUAAAAGUUUGUAAAAAAUUUAAAUAUUUAAUUUUUAGUUAAAUUUAUUUUUUUAUUAGUUAUUUUAAAUUGGUUUUUAUUUAUUUUAAAAUGAUUGAAUUAGUAAAUUUAUAAUUAAAAUUUAAUUUAUGAACUUGGCAAAAAUUUGUUUUUCACCUGUUUAACAAAAACAUGUCCUUAAGUUUUUUAUUUUAGGUCAAUCCUGCUCAGUGAAUUAAUUUAACAGCCGCAGUAUUUUAACUGUGCUAAGGUAGCAUAAUAAUUAGUCUUUUAAUUGAGGUCUAGAAUGAAUGGUUAGAUGAAAAAACAUCUUUAUUAAUUAAAUUUUUUUGAAUUUUAUUUUUGAUUUAAAAAGAUCAAAUUUUUUUGAGUGACGAUAAGACCCUAUAGAUCUUAAAAAUUUAAUUUAUUUUUUUUUUUGUUGUAUUUAUUUAAAUAUAUUGAAAAUUUUUUUGUUGGGGUGACAGUUAAAAUUUUAAACUUUAAUUAUUUUUUACAAAUAUUUUUGUUUAUUUUGAUCCUUUUUUUAGAUAGUAAGAAAAAGAUACCUUAGGGAUAACAGCGUGAUGUAUUUGGAGAGUUCUUAUCAAUAAAUAUGAUUGCGACCUCGAUGUUGGAUUAAUUUAAAGUUGUGGGGUAGGUUUUACAAUUUUAGGUCUGUUCGACCUUUAAAAAAUUACAUGAUCUGAGUUCAAACCGGUGUAAACCAGGUUGGUUUCUAUCUUCAUUUUUUUUUAAUUAGUACGAAAGGACUUUUAAAAUAUAAAAUUUAUUUUUU
rnacentral:rRNA from 1 species